GAAUUAGAGAGUUAAACAGAAAACUGUAACAGUGAGUGGUUUUGUAAAAAGGAGAAAAAUGAAAGGAGGGGAGGGGGGAAAGGAGAAUAAGAUAACUACACCUGGAGGAAAAGCAAGUCGGCUAUGAAAAACAGAAUCACCAAAGUGCAGCACCAUUAAAAAGAUGCACUGUUAUGGCAAUGGGUAAUCUGCUGUAU